ensembl:lncRNA
UCAGAACAGGAAGCGGAGGCAUAAGCAGAGAGGAUUCUGGAAAGGUUUCUUUGUUUUCUUGUUCAGAGAGAAAGCAAAGGGGGGGUUGGGGGGGAAGCAUUGUAGUUAAUAUGUAAACCUCUGUGGCCAAAAAUUUGAACAACUGCAGGGGAAGGCUCUUUAUACUCUAACCAUCUUGGAUGCGGGCUUUGUUAUGCUGUGAUCCAUAAGGCUCUGUUUCAUCAGAGACCCUCCACUGUGUGAUCCUGCUGCAAUUAAGUGGUAAUGUGGGUGCCUGCUCAGUCACUUCGGUCACGUCCGACUCUUUGCAAAUUUAUGAACUGAAGCCUGCCAGGCUCCUCAGUCCCUGGGAUUCUCCAGGCAAGAGUACUGGAGUAGGUUGCCAUGCCCUCCUCCAGGGGAUCUUUCCAAUGUCAUGGAGCAAGGAAGGUAAUGUCAAGCCACAUCAGAGUUCAUCAGGGAUGAGAUACCUGUCAAGGAUUUGUGGCAGAGUGGCACACUGGAAUAAAAACACAGAAUCUCUUAUAAGGGUCGUAUAAGAACAAAUGAGAUAAUUCCCAGAAUUGGCCUGGAGUUUUUUCCGGAAAAAG